AUGGAGGACAACUUGUACAUUCGCGAGAUUCUGCAAAUUAAUCCAGAUGACUACGAACCAGGCGAUCCGGCCGAAGCACCCCGCAGAAUCUACCAGAGGAGAUACAGCUCGCAGAAUAAAUUAGGAUAUGUAUCCAUUCUGAACAGAUGCGAGUCUGCCAAUGCAACACAGCUUUGCAUCUACAACAUGCCUAUACAGAAGGACCUACCGAAUCGUCAUGACAUUGGUGGCACCUACACAAACGAGACACCAGAUCUAUGGUUCUAUUACACUACCUCAAUGUGCCCAAAAGUUUUUACUAUUAAAUUUGUUUGUAUGUCACAGAAAAACAGGCAGUUUUUCAGUCGGCAUAUCAAAUUCAAAUCAAUUUACAAUGACAGACAAUAUCUGCACUUUACCCAAUAAUUUGACAUGGUACAACUUUAGGAGUGCACAAAAUGAUGAAACCCAUUAUAUCAAAACAUUUCACUUUCCAAUGGAGAACUUUAAAACAGAUGUUGAAGUUGACACCACCACAAUAGUCAUACCUUUGAACAUCCGGGUAGAGCCACCAUUCUCUUUGAACAGUGAUGUACUUAAAACAAUUAAGUUAGAGCACAAUGAGAGCAAUUGUUUUAUUCAACAAGAAAAAACAGAUUUUAUUAUUAAAUCUGAUAGCGGUAAAGAGUACCCAGUGCACAAAAUAUUGGUUGCCAGCCACAGCUCAGUUCUAAGGCAACUCAUGAAAGACAAGAUAAUGCUAUGCCUUGAUAUUAAUGAUAAUACAGUAGAACUACUCCUGCAGUACAUUUACACUGGAACAAUCAAAAAUAUUGGAGACCAGAAUGUAUUGGAUCUUUUAGAAACUGUGCACAAAUUCCAAUUAAAACCAUUGUUAAUACUAAUAGACCAUCUUAUUGAGAAGGAACUUACUGUUAACAAUGCUGUGCAAAUGGCUCUUGUUGCCAAAAAGUAUGGAUUACAUGAGUUGAAGAGCAAAGUUUAUGAUUACAUAAAAAACAAUCCAGAUGUGAUGAACUCGGAAGGAUGGAAGCAUUUAAAUGAUGUUGAACUGACAAAAUCUAUAUUCCAGUAUGUCUUAACCAAUAAGAUUUAAGUGAAGAUUAUCAAAGAAACAUCUGAACCUGCUUUAAAUUGAUAAGGCUAUACAAUAUCCUCAUUAGAUAAUGUUGGAACAUUAUCUAAUGAGGAUAUUGUAUAGUUAGAACAUAGAUAUGUUCUAUAACAUUUGUAUUUUCCAAUUACUGUUUUAUGUUUUCUUCUGUACAUCAUAAUAUAAUUUGAGUUGGAGAGAAAAAAACUGAUAAAAGUUAACCAACCAUUCUAAAGAAUUGGUUGGAAGUUCCCACACAUUUUGUGAAAAUCAGAUUUUCAGUAAACUUAGGCAAGAGGCAGUAUCAUAUGUACAGACACUUGACUGUGAAAACUUCAAAUCUUACAUCUUUUUACUUUUAUAUUGUUUUAUAAAUUUCCUGGCUGCUAAUACUUUUGUGUGAGAUAAUAAUGAGAUUAUUUCUUGGUGCUCUCCUUAGUAUUGUAAUUAUGUAAAAACUUGUUUCUAAUAUUAUAUGUUUUUUAUGAUCA